UAUGUAUAUGUAAUCAAAACAUGUACACCUUAAAUAUGUACAAUUUUAAUUUUUAAAAAAGUCCCAGUUAUGACAGAUCAGCACAGCCAACUUGGGUGUUACAAAAUUGUUCCUUUGAAAUUUCUCUUUAAAAUUACUCCGUUUCUCUGAUGCAGCAAAGAGGCAAGAGACAAUCAUUGCUUCCCAGUGGACUCAUGCCCAUGAAAACAAACCCAAAUGUACUGCUGCUAAAAAGAGUCCAGUCAGCCACACUUCCUAUUUACUUGGCUUUGGACAAGUGGGCAGAGCAGACCUGAGGAAGGCGCGAUACACCGCCCUGAGUCAUCACCUGAAAUGGCCUCCCUCCCCACGAGCCCCCUCAGGCCGAGGGGCAGACAGGACCUGCUCUCACUUCCACCGGGAGCAUUUCCGCAUCGAGGAGGCCUGCACUCACUUCCUCUUUACAAUUCCUGCCCGCCAAGUCCCUUGCUUGCUGAAGUGAGAAAACAAAACCAGCCUCUUACUACGCACCCUUCUUCGGUUCCUGGCAUUCCACCGGGCUUCCUGGAGAAGCGCUGUGCUGGGUGCGCCGGGCCAGCAACUCUCUCCUCCUGCUUGAACACGGCGGGCGUCCUCGCCUCGCCGGCCCGCCGCGGAUUCCGGGGCUGCCAAUCACAGAUGCCGGGCUCCCGGCCGCCAAGGGGCCGACGCACGGAAGCCGGACCAGCCACAGAGGCCGCGCGGGGAGCCGGUCCGCGGGACUUACAUUCCGGGGGGUCCUGCAGACACGCCUCCUCAUUGCCGCGGCGCGGCUGACCUGAAGGAUCUAAGCCGGCUUCCGGUGGCCGUGCCCCCUGUGCCCUGUCCCUGCCGGGAUGGAGCCAUCCCAAGUCAGAGAAAAUGAGGCCCGAGCACAGGGAGAAGUCAGGACGAGUGACGAUGGAACGAAAGGGAUGGAAGUAGGAGGGCUAAGGCUCGACAAUAUUUAUCUGGACACGGUGAGCCCGAUGCCAGGCCCACCCUUUCUGCAAGAGCCGAUAACUCUUUUUUGGUUAAGCUAAGUUUACUUGGGUUUCUGUCCCAUAACCAAAGAAGCCUGAGUAAAACAGAAAUUGGUACCUGCAAAUGGGGACUCGUAAGUAAUAAGGUAAUAGACCCUAAAAUGUGGGAUUGGCUUAGCCUAGGUGAUAAGGAGCCGCAAGGAGUCUCUUUCCAGGGGCAGAGAAGCUGGCCCUUCUGGACACGCCGGUAAGCAGCUGGUCACAACUUAGCUUUUACAAGAGGUCUAGGUCAGAGACGUCAGGAUGUUGGAAUGGGUUAGCAGUGAUCUUCCAAAAAGGAUGCUCUGUUGAAGCUGGGCUGUUUGAAAGCAGAAGGAAACAGCAGGCAGAUAAAAGAGAGGUUCCCUCUCUUGGCAGCAAGAUUCCAACGGUAUAGAGAAUUUGAUGAAUUUUUUCUUUAAAGAAUGGGAAAAGCAGAAACCUGUGGCUAGGAAGGUGGAGCCUGAGUGAAGAGGGAGCAUCUCAUCUUGAAGCAGCAUUUACUGGAACACAGCCCAGGGCCUGUGUAGACUGUCCUCCUCACUGGGAGCUUCAAGCCAGCUCAGACCAGAAGCUGAGUCCCUAGAAAGUGGACACCCCUCUAGGCCUUUGGUGAGGAGCAGGAGUCCUCCACUGUGGAGUCCAGUUUGUCACUGCCCAGUGAAUUCUCACAAGUCCCCCAAGAGGUGGAAGCUUCAGAAGAUCAGAGGAAAUUGCUCCUAUGCCAGAGAGUUCUUGCUGUCCCUGCCAAAAGGAUGGGAUAUAGUGACUUCUUCCUGUAUCCUAUUUCACACCAGCUGAGUUUGCAUCCCAAGACCUUUACAUCUGUCGCUCCUCCUUUUUUGGGAGACUCUUCUCCCACAUCUUUGGAAGCCUGCCUCCUUCCCAUUGUUUAAAGAUUGCAGGAUGUUCAAUGGGAUUUUCCUACUCUCCGGAAUUCUGCAUGAAGCUCAGAGAUGAGGACAAAGAAGCUCCACGCUCACCACCUUCUCAAGAGAGCUGCCCACCAUGGUACCAGACGCACCUCCUGGGACAUACUGAAAGGUCUCACUCUAACCCUUUGCAUCCCUCCUUCCUAAUCUUUGAGAUGACUGAGAAGGAGAAAAAGAUGGGAGUUAGAGUGAGACUCAUCUGCCUCGUGGGGAGGAUGGUAUUUGUGGUGGGAGGUGACCUUCUCUUAUAGUGAGGAAGCCCCAGAGAGUUAGCCACAAAGCGGGGGUCCCUGAGAGAAGAGGAAAUUGGCACACUGUUAGCUGGUUGGUUAUCAUUUCUACCUUUCUACCUUGCCCCUGGGUUUAUCUGAGUAAGGUAGAGGAGGCUGGCAUUGUUUCAGGAUGGUGAAAGGCGCAGAAGGGGAGCUCCCUAUAUUCCUCCUGCUGCCCUGGCAAGAACGGCAGGAUUUUCGGUUGGGCAUUACAGAAGGUGGCUGGGCUUGGACCCCACACAUCCUCCAGAGGACUCACCAGCACUUGAAUGCCCGCUGCAGAGAGGGUGUCUAUGGCCACUGUCAGCCAGCCAGGCAGGGACAGCCAGCCUAGAAAGGACAACAGCUAUAGCCAGGUGAGGACACUCUUGUCCACCUCCCUGUCCUUCUGCCUGCCCCAAACACACUGGAAGAGCUGGGCCUUGAAGAAGGAAGGGGAGAGACAUCUCAGAACCUGAUCAUACUGCUUCCCCAUCUUCAUUCCUAGCAGUCAAGCGUCCCAGAUCAAGAAUGCUCUGUGUCAGAGCAAGGGGAAGGGAGAAGAGGUUUAAUAGUUGGAGAUGUAAAUCUAAAAGUAGACUGGACUUCUGAUAACCGGGAAGUCAGGAGAGCUUCCUGUGUCUGUCCUGGGCCCGUUGCCCUCAAGGUACAUCUGUCAUGCUUUCCCAGCCCUGACCCUCAUCGGGGCGGGAGCUUGAUGCCUGCGGGCUCAGCUGACUCCCUUUGCUGAUGAGAGAUUGGAAAGCAGGAGGAAGAAACAAAUGAAGGCAUUUUUCUUCCACUCUGCCUCCCGUGCAGUGUCUGGCUGUGGGCUCUUCUUCCUUUGUGAAUCCGGGCCUAGCACAGUCCAACUUUUGCUUUUUGAUCUUAGCCUCAGGACUCUGGUAACAUUUGGUUAUAAUUGUUCUACAGAGUUUGUUUCUCAGAAAGAGCACCUGGAUGUAUCAUCUUGAGUCUCUGCAAGUAUCUAUUUUGUUCUCAGUUUGGCUGGCUACAAAAUUUUAGUAUCAUCAUUCUUAAUCCACAGAAUUAUUUACAAUGUCCCAGAGAGGAGGACAGUCUACACAUAUUGCUCCAGUGUCUUCUAAUUUUUAAUAUUGCAAAUGAGAACUCCAAUGCCAGUCUGAAUCUCUUUUUGUAUGACAGUUUAGGAUUUUUACAUUAUCCUUGAAAUUCAGAAAAUUUACCAGAUAUGUCCUUGGGUGAAAUUACUGAAACAAUUCUAUCUAGGACUCAGUAAACCACUUCAAUCUGUAGAUAAUAAUUACUAAACUCAGGACAUUUUCUUCCAUUAUUUUGUUAAUUGAUACUUCACAUCUAUCCAUUCUUCUUUAUGAUUCUUGUUAUACUAUAUAUACAUAUGUAUAUAUAUGUAUAUAUAUAUAUAUACAUAGGAAUAUUCUAUCUAACUUCCUCUUAUUUUUUAUCUCAUAUUUAUCUUGUCUAUGUUCUGAGAGGACUGUAUUGAUUCUUAUGAGUUUGAUAAAUCACUAAGUCAAUUUUCAAUACUAUGCAUUGCUGCUGUUCUGCUUUAUUUUGGGGGCACAAUCAUGUAUUUUAUUUUCAAGGACUGUUUCUUUUUCUCCUAGAAUUCCAUUUCAUGCUUCUUUUGCUCUGACAUUUCACUGAAAAACAAAUUUGAAUUUCUGAAAAGUUAGCUCCUGUUUUCUCCAGUAAUUCUUUCUAAUUGGCUGUUGAUUCGGUCCCCAUUUUGGGGCUGCUCAGUCUCCUCAGAUGACUAACUGGUGCUUGUUGGGGUUGGCUGGUAUUUGUCAAUAUGGAAAUCUGUGCUGCAGAGGACUGAUGGCUCUUCCAGUGAUGUCGGCAAGUGUGCAGGUCACGGUGGGCUGUCCUAGCUGCUCCCAAUGCAUCCGCACCUCCAGCCCCUCUGGCGCCGCUGUGUGGGUGUAACAUCAGGACAGAUUCACAGGUAGGCCCUGCUUUUGCUGUGGUUCUCAGAUAUCCACUCGUGUCUUCCGAAAAGUUCUCAAGGUUUCUGCCCAGUUGAUGUUCUUCCUAUUUAACAAUGGUUUCAGGUCUCCCUACCCCACCCUCCCAUCCCCUUAUUUUUACUGUCUUAUCAUUUCAAUAAGAUUUGGGAAGUUACUGUAAAUUCAAACUGUAAUCUUGAAAUAAAAUCUGUUAUAGCAGACUUUCAACUGAGCCUGACAGAGCAGGUUCUGCAGUGCCAGCCCAUAGGCCUCCAGCUUCCAAUGUCAGCAUCUACAUCUCUUUGCCUGAAAGUUUUCUCCAGCAGCCUGAGCCCCUCUGCCUGGGCAGGGCAGGUCAGAAGCACCCCUGCCUUCCAGGGACUGGCUGGCAUAUAAAUGCCACAGCUCCUUUGUUCCUUAUGGAGAAACUGAGGUGCCGGUUCUACACUGGCUCCCAGAGCUCUCACGAGGAGAGCAUCAUCUGGCUACCUGACCCCAGGGGUGACUAGAUGGUCCCUGCAAAGCCUGCCCUCCCUUCUCUGUCUCACUUUCUCACUACUCUGGGUGUGUCCUGGCAUAACCUCCUUCAUGAGCUACUUGCAAAUGAAUCCUUGUCCAAGGGGGAAACCAUAUCAAAAUGCUGACAGUGUGGCCGAAAGUUCUGUCUGCUGGUGUGGAGCACGAACUGGAGGCCGUGAGGUCAGCAUGGAGGUUUGAGCAGCAGUCCUGCUGAAGGUUAAGAGAGGAGCCAGCACUACUCUGUCUCAAAGGGAGAUCAACACGUGCAACAAAGCCAAAUACUUUAAAAAAUAUUUUGACAUUUAGAAAAAUAGAAGUAGCCAUCCUGAAAAUAUUCAGACUUUGGUGAACUUCCCAGCACUUUAUUUUUCUUAUUGUUGUUAUUGUUCUGCUUGUUGUUACCAAGGAAGCACUCAGUCAAUAUUUGUUGAAUGAAUUAAUAAAUAAAUGGCUCCAAGGUUACUGGCUGGAUGGUGGUGCCAUUCACUGAGAGAAGAACCAGAGGAAAGUGAGCAAGUCUGGAAGGAGAGGCAGGGUAGGCAGUCUCCUUCACCAGCGUAUCAGGUAACAGGGCACUCUGGGUCCUUCUUGGAACUGAGGGUGCUAGGCAGGCUCAGGCAGGGAGUGAUCAGACCAUUUCACAGGCACUGUGGCACGUGCUCCUGCCAAUCAGAAGGCAUCCAGCCCUGGUGCCAGAGCUGAAUCCUGGAACCCCUACUGGGCCAGAUGGUAACGUUUUAGCUGUCGGAUUAUUGGGAAGAUGAGCAAAGGGCCAGGAUAGCCAGAAUAUUCAGGGGCUUGGGAAGGUGAGCAGUCACCAGUAGGUAGAGCUGGGGGUUGUACAGGUUGAGGCAGUCCUGGGCUUAGAGGCAGGCAGAGAAACCAGGCAGAUUGGAAGAACCAUUCAGAAAGGCUAGAGGAGGCCCCCUAGCUCCUCCUGAGAGGCAACUGGGCUGGCUAGGAGAGCGAGCCCGCAUUGGAGGGUGAGCUUUACUCAGGGUCAGGAUCCCAUUCCUGGUGCUUCCAACAACAUAACUCAAUGGAGGGUGAUUUCUAUUACUGUCUCUCCUUUACAGAUGAAGAAACUGAGCUGCAGGGAAUGUUGAAUGGAGGGCAUGAUUUUUAGUAACUUGCCUAUGAUUACAUGGUUAGUAGGUGGCACAGCCCAAAUUCAAACCCAGGCAACAGCUCUACAUCUAAGUGCCCCACAAGUUGAAGUACAAGGUGGAAGACAAAGGGGAAAAUCAGCUAGUGGUGGUCAAAAGAGCUUUGAGGGGGCUCAGUGGUGUCUUGGUGACCCAGGAGUUCAAGGAGGAGCCACAGAGCUACUUCUCCAGUUGCUUGGUUAGGCGAGGACCACAUACCUAUGCUUGCCUCAACUGGUAAGGUCUCUGAGGAGUUGGGGGAGGAGGAGAUACACAGGAGAUUUGAAAUAGUCCAUGACAUGAGAAUGGGUUUGGUGGAUUUGAGAAGUGGGGGCAUUAUAUACCUCCAAACCCGAUCAUACUCCUGGAUACAAAAUCAUCAAUCAAUAUUUCUGAAUGGAUGAAUGAAUAAGCAAAAGACCUGCUUGAGGCCCCCGGUCAUUGCAAACCUCCUCACAUUUCGGAUGGAGGAAUUGUUCCUUCUGCACAACGCAUAUUGGAUAGAGCUGCCAAUCACAGUCAUAGGCACAAGUGGGGCCAAUCAGAAUCCUUUCCAGGAAUUGAUAAAAUUCCAGAGGGGAGAGGAAGUCUCCUCCUUUCUCUGAGGCCACUCUCUGGGGUGGUGAAGUAAUAUAAGCCUGGCACUGUCUGCGAACAACCCCUGAACAUGAAGGAAUCUUGUCCUCACUGGAGGGAUGCCAAUUACAAAAAAAAGCAGAAGACAGCAGACAGGCAGACACACAGAAAAUAGACUGAGUGACCACGUUCACUUUCCUGGUUUCAUGAGCCAAUAAGUUCUUUUUGUUUUUUUGGCUUAUGAAUUUGACUUGUUUCCCUAAUUUACUACUUACUGUUCAGCCAUACUGGCCUGGUGACAGCUCCCUGAAUCCAUGCUGGCACCUACUAGCACUCCCUAUAGGUUCAAGCAACAAAGUGCCACCAUACACAGCCCAGAGGGUUUAUAUGAAAAUUUUUACCUCAGAGAGAGUGGUUCCUGGCAUCCGUUCUCCUCAUUCUCCCACUGUUCUUCAGGUUCCCCAGGUGGCCAUGUUCAGGUUGGCCGUGAGCGUUCCCCUGGACCUUCUCCUUCACGUUCUGUCUCCCUUACCUCCCAUGCUUUCUUGGUCUCUUAGCUCCUUUGUGCUCUCCAAAGUCUACCUCCUUUAGCCCCUAAGAAGUGACCCAGACACUUCUGCCUGGAGUCUGCUUCUGCACAGGGCACCUUGGAUGCUGCAGAAUCUACAAAAUGGAAUUAGAGCAAGUGCCCCAAGACCUCUAGCACUGUAAAGACCAGCUACUUGGGCCAUACCUCCACGCCCUGCUUAAGCUUGAGGGCGUUCAUUGGCUUCCUAGCCUUUAGAUACAUUCAGCAGCAGAGUGAAGACUUAGGGACCUUUCAGCCUCUGCGUUUCAGUUGUGUGGCAAGAACACCAGAUAUUCAGAGGAGGAAGCAUGACAACAGAUAAGCUUGGGGCACUGGGGGAUGUCACAGAUGAAGCAGGGUCUGUGUUGGCUAUCAGCAAGGGGAGGGGACUAGACCUAAAGUGGUUAGGCCUUCCUAAGACAGGGCAGGGCAUGAACAGCAGCCUGGCAGAGUGGCCUAUGCAGCUCACUUAAGUGACCAUGAGGACACCAGGCUGGUGGCCAUUGGCAAGUGGCAGGAAAGCUGAUGUUCAGUGAAGUGUCUUGAAUACCCACCCCAGGAUUCUGACUACUGGUUCUUAGAGUAUAAACAGGGCUGGGUUGAUUCAGGGCCUCUUCAGAGAGGGCUGAUUGUUCGUGCUGUCCUCUGGUGCACAAAGACGACUGAGAAACUAGGUCAGAAACUUCAAUCCCCACUCUUCCUGGGGCAGCAAAAGGGUCUCUCCUCCUUUUGACUCUGACUCCCACCCCACGCCAGCCCACCCCUUCUGUGACCCAGGGCCACUCAGGCUUCGACUGAAAUGGAUGGCAUUUGCACUUCAUGACCUCAGGAUCUUCUGCCUCCUCCUCCCUCAGUUCCUGUCCAUGCUAGGCAUCCCCCACCCCAGGCCUUCGGUGGGUGAGCUGGUCCUCUGCAAUCCAGCUCUGGGGCUUCCCAGCCUGUCUGUAACUGUCUUCACUCCAUGACUCAUUAGAGACAGCCUCACUGCUCUUCCACUUAGGAAGCCCUAAGUGGAGGUUCUGGGCUGUCUGCUUUUUUUUGCUGUCCUCCAUUUCCGUCCUACAUCAGGGAUUGUUAGGGUGGAUUCCUUCUGCCAAGUUUCUGGGCCAGCCCGGUGAAUGGGAGGAAAUAUCCCGGCAUGCCCUUGCCUGGUGAUUCUGUUCCUCUUGCAGGGUCAAGCCAAGAGCUGGAGAGCCGCAGACUCGGAACUGGGAGGGAGCAGAUAGGCAGCCUCGUGCAGCAGUUCCUUGAAAAGAUCCUGGGCACUGCAGUAGGGCCGACCCUGAGCCUGAAGCCAGCCCCAACACUCAACAGCUGUUGACCUGGAACAAGUGACUUCUCAACCUUUUUUUUCUCAUUGGUAAAGUAGAGAUAAAAACACCUACCUUGCAGGUUAUUACGAAAGGUAAAUGGGACUUUUAAUAAUUGUGAUGUUUAAUAAGUGGGAGCUGAUAUUAUGCUUAUUUUAUCUCAACCUCUGGAGGGAAAAAGCCAGACUUGUCCAAAGUCAUGUGUUGAGACAUUCACAGUUCAUCCUGUGUUACAGGCUCGGGUUCUUUGCCCACCCCAUGCUGCCCCCACCAUGUGGCACCAAUAGGCAGGAGCAGGUGAGCAUGAUGGGAAAAUCUUCCUGUUUUCAGAUCAUUUCCUGAGGCAACACAAGCAGGGUCAGCCAGCCCGCCCCAGGGCCACUUCCACAUGGACGCUGGAGAAUAAAGGAACUAGGGGAAAAAGUCAAACAGAAGAAAGCGCCUGGAAAAGAUGGUUUUUAUGUUCACUUACAAUGGAAAAAAAUCAAAGUACACAGCAUGAAGAUAAAUGUGUCUCAGAAAAUUCGUCCUUGUGAACCUGUCUGUUCAAUUGUAGUUAUAAUUUGGGAGUUGCCAAAUGGAAGUCAUAAAAUCCGGAGGGGGUGCAGGGAAGGGCCACCAAGAGAAAGGUAGUAAUUAUGUGCUAUUUUUUUCUAGUUUCAGAUAAUUUGGAGUUUAAACUUUUCCAGCAAGUCAGAGUUACAUAAACAGAUGCCAUACUAAAAUAUGAUUGUGUAAAAAUA